UACGAGGGCCCCAAGCAUUAUCCGGAUUUAUUGGGCGUAAAGCGUCCGUAGACGGUUUGUCGCAUCUCCUGUUAAAUCCUCUGGCUCAACCAGGGGGCUGCGGGAGAGAUGGAUAAACUAGAGACUGGAAGAGGCAAUCGGAAUUGCUGGUGUAGGGGUUAAAUCCGUUAAUACCAGCAGGAACACUCAAUGCGAAGGCAAAUUGCUGGGACAGUUCUGACGUUCAGCGACGAAAGCGUGGGGAGCGAAUGGGAUUAGAUACCCGGGUAGUCCCU
rnacentral:rRNA from 1 species